rnacentral:rRNA from 1 species
ACGGAGGAUCCAAGCGUUAUCCGGAUUCAUUGGGUUUAAAGGGUGCGUAGGCGGAAUGAUAAGUCAGUGGUGAAAUCCUUCAGCUUAACUGGAGAACUGCCAUUGAUACUGUCAAUCUCGAGUACAUUUGAUGUGGGCGGAAUGUGUCAUGUAGCGGUGAAAUGCUUAGAUAUGACACAGAACACCGAUUGCGUAGGCAGCUCACUACGGAAAUAUUGACGCUGAGGCACGAAAGCGUGAGGAUCAAACAGGA